rnacentral:rRNA from 1 species
UACGAAGGGGGCUAGCGUUGCUCGGAAUUACUGGGCGUAAAGCGCACGUAGGCGGAUUGUUAAGUCGGGGGUGAAAUCCUGGAGCUCAACUCCAGAACUGCCUCCGAAACUGGCGAUCUUGAGUUUCGGGAGAGGUGAGUGGAACUGCGAGUGUAGAGGUGAAAUUCGUAGAUAUUCGCAAGAACACCAGUGGCGAAGGCGGCUCACUGGCCCGAUACUGACGCUGAGGUGCGAAAGCGUGGGGAGCAACAGG